AUGGAGGACGUGGACACCGUCAUUGGGAACGUCGCCGAGGAGGCCGCGGCGAAGACCGAAAAGAUUGCCGCCGAGGAGGCCGCCAAGGAUGCUGCCGAGGACGCCGCCAAGGGGCCUGCUGGGGAGGCCGGCGAGGCUACUGCCGAGGAGGACGGUGAGGGACCUGCCAGGGAGGCCGGCAAGGCCGCCGCUGAGGAGGAGGCGGUCGAUGACCAGCCUUCCUCCUCCGCGGCCUCUAGCUCCGGCAGGUAUCUGAAGGUGGGCGAUGACCUUUUCGUCCAUCUCCUAGGGGCAUCGAGCUCCAAGACACCCGUCGAGGGAGAAGUUUUCGACGAGGAGAUGCUUGUUGCCACUGGGCUCGAGGUUGUUGACGAACCGAGCACCGGUGGCGACGGCUCCCAGGAAGAGAGGCUUCUCCAUGCCAUGGGGGCCAAUUUCCGAAAGCUUCAGGCACUCCACCGCGCCCGUCUGGACAAGGCCAAGUCCAGGAUGGCAACAGUGGACAAGGCGGAGGUGGACUUCAAGGCGCGCGUUGCCGAGACGCAGACUUGGUUCCGCCAGGCUCGUGAGGAGCUGAAGGUUGCCCAGGAUGAGAUGGCCAAGCGCGACGUGGAGCUCACCAUGAAGCUGGCUGACAUCGAGAAGGCUCAGGGGACGGCGGAGAACUUGGCCGCCGCAGCCGAGGCUGCCCGAACACAACACCAAGCCGUGCUGAACUCCUAG
rnacentral:rRNA from 1 species